rnacentral:rRNA from 1 species
UACGUAGGUGGCUAUUCAAGUCGGUGGUGAAAUUCCGAGGCUCAACUUCGGCGCUACCACCGAUACUGUUUAGCUUGAGUGCAGGAGGGGUAAGUGGAAUUCCUAGUGUAGCGGUGGAAUGCGUAGAUAUUAGGAGGAACACCAGUGGCGAAGGCGACUUACUGGACUGUAACUGACACUGAAGUACGAAAGCGUGGGGAGCAAACA